rnacentral:rRNA from 1 species
GAUGAACGCUGGCGGUAUGCUUAACACAUGCAAGUCGAACGGACUCUUCGGAGUUAGUGGCGGACGGGUGAGUAACGCGUGAGAAUCUGGCUUUGGGUUCGGGACAACCACUGGAAACGGUGGCUAAUACCGGAUGUGCCGAGAGGUAAAAGAGAAAUUGCCUGAAGAUGAGCUCGCGUCUGAUUAGCUAGUUGGUGAGGUAAAGGCUCACCAAGGCAGCGAUCAGUAGCUGGUCUGAGAGGAUGACCAGCCACACUGGGACUGAGACACGGCCCAGACUCAUACGGGAGGCAGCAGUGGGGAAUUUUCCGCAAUGGGCGAAAGCCUGACGGAGCAAUACCGCGUGAGGGAAGAAGGCUCUUGGGUUGUAAACCUCUUUUCUUAGGGAAGAACAAAAUGACGGUACCUAAGGAAUCAGCAUCGGCUAACUCCGUG